UCAUCUUCGAACCGAAUGGGUUCGAAGGAUGUGACCGCAUGGGUGCGGUUUGCUUACUGGUAGGGGUUUGUUUGAUGCGGGUAAUGGUCGUUUUGGGACCAUACCCCUUCAGUCACCGUUUCAUUUUCUUGUACAGGAAGGUUUGGUAACCACUGAUAUUUCCGGCGCAGUGAAAGAAGCAAAGAAAAAUAUCACAUUUAAAAAGGAUAAAUCGACAAUUGUUCAUGCUGGUCUUGGAAAGAAGUAGCUUUAUGUGAAACUGUGGAAACCUUUGUUAAUGCUCUUUUGCUUGCUAAGCCUGCAGGUUUAAAGAAAAGUAAACAACUUUCUUUAUCUGCAACACUCAAUAACAAUUUUAUGAAAUUAGGGAUGUCAAAAAACCCUAGCCCAGUGGGAAAGCCUGAAAUAGUUGGGACAGUUCUCGGUUAUGGAAUUAGUUUUAUAAACGUUUGCUGGUUUGGGAUGGGUAUUGAUAACUUUCACUGUUGGUUAAAGCUGUGACAUUCAUUAUUAUAUUUUUGAUCACUUAUAUUCUUAACGUUUGGAAAAAAAUACAUACUUCUUUGGUUUUUCUUUUAGUUUUUCCAUAUUGUUUCAUUUAGCUAAUCUACGAGGAAUCAAAUGAUAUUUUUUUUCUUUAAAUGCACUAUAUGUACCUUCUCUUUUGUUUCCACAAGAGAUCGACUAUGUAACGGGUCAAACAAAUGAAGAAAUUCGAAGAUUCACGUUAAAUGGGUGGGUCUGGCCUGUUGGGUAACAGGUCAAAUCGAUUAACAGUUUUUGUCCGAGUAGUUUACUAAUGGUAGUCUGUGAUAUUAAUUCACAUAAAAAAUUCAAGCUUUCUUUGUUGCAUUCACUAUCUAACAAGCUUACGAUUGACUGGUUAACUUUAUGGAGUUAUGUUACGUUUAUGGAGACAUGUCAGAAAAUAUCCAGAUGUUUCCGUGAUUGAUGAUGAUGAUGACGACAAGGACACGUAUGAUUCUUACGGGACUGCAACUGCCGUUUGGGUGGUCUGAUGCUUGGCUUUGGAGAAUUAUUGAUUGUGUAGUGCUAGACCGACUUUCUCUUGUGGAUCUUAGUGUAUCAUGGGAAUCACUUUCUUGAUGUCGGUAACAAGGACACGCGGACCGUAGCCUGCUUAUGACCCGAAAAUAAAAUGUCUGGAUUUAUACACAGUGAUGUCAUUAUGACAUUAGAUUACCCGGCCACCGGCCGGGUAUUAAACUAGUUGUUAUUUGAAAUACUAAAAUUUCUAUUAGUAUGCACUAGUAUUUUAAAAACACCAACAUAAUAAUAACAUCAUUAUAUAAGA